CUUGCUUACUGAGCCCCCCCGAGUGUGCGGGCACCGCACUCGACACUGGACACCAGAAGCCCGCACCUCGGCCGCCGCCUCCAGAGCAGACAGAGGGCACGCACAAAGGGGCAGCUGUGAACCUGGGGUCAACUACGAAAACUACUGGAGAAUGGCUUUCAUAGCAGAAGGAAAUAAACCCGGAAGAAAGAGGAUCCAGGAAAUGGGACCUACGAACAGGAAUGAGCCAAAGGGAUGGAUGCCCAGGACGGGGGCCUGGCCCUGAGCAGCUCCGCCUCUGGCCAGCGGCAGUGUGCGGGUUCCUGACUCCACGUGGGGAAGGUUUCACAACAGGCGUUCA